GGAAAAGAAACCAACCGGGAUUGCCUUAGUAACGGCGAGUGAAGCGGCAAAAGCUCAAAUUUGAAAUCUGGUACCUUCGGUGCCCGAGUUGUAAUUUGGAGAGGGCAACUUUGGGGCCGUUCCUUGUCUAUGUUCCUUGGAACAGGACGUCAUAGAGGGUGAGAAUCCCGUGUGGCGAGGAGUGCGGUUCUUUGUAAAGUGCCUUCGAAGAGUCGAGUUGUUUGGGAAUGCAGCUCUAAGUGGGUGGUAAAUUCCAUCUAAAGCUAAAUAUUGGCGAGAGACCGAUAGCGAACAAGUACAGUGAUGGAAAGAUGAAAAGAACUUUGAAAAGAGAGUGAAAAAGUACGUGAAAUUGUUGAAAGGGAAGGGCAUUUGAUCAGACAUGGUGUUUUGUGCCCUCUGCUCCUUGUGGGUAGGGGAAUCUCGCAUUUCACUGGGCCAGCAUCAGUUUUGGUGGCAGGAUAAAUCCAUAGGAAUGUAGCUUGCCUCGGUAAGUAUUAUAGCCUGUGGGAAUACUGCCAGCUGGGACUGAGGACUGCGACGUAAGUCAAGGAUGCUGGCAUAAUGGUUAUAUGCCGCCCGUCUUGAAACACGGACC
rnacentral:rRNA from 1 species